GAUGAACGCUGGCGGCGUGCCUAAUACAUGCAAGUCGAGCGAACGGACGAGAAGCUUGCUUUUCUGAUGUUAGCGGCGGACGGGUGAGUAACACGUGGAUAACCUACCUAUAAGACUGGGAUAACUUCGGGAAACCGGAGCUAAUACCGGAUAAUAUUUUGAACCGCAUGGUUCAAAAGUGAAAGACGGUCGUGCUGUCACUUAUAGAUGGAUCCGCGCUGCAUUAGCUAGUUGGUAAGGUAACGGCUUACCAAGGCAACGAGGCAUAGCCGAACUGAGAGAGUGAUAGGCCACACUGGAACUGAGCCACGGUCCAGACUCCUGCGGUAGGCAGCAGUAGGGAAUCUUCCGCAAUGGGCGAAAGCCUGACGGAGCAACGCCGCGUGAGUGAUGAAGGUCUUCGGUUCGUAAAACUCUGUUAUUAGGGAAGAACAUAUGUGUAAGUAACUGUGCACAUCUUGACGGUACCUAAUCAGAAAGCCACGGCUAACUACGUG
rnacentral:rRNA from 1 species